rnacentral:lncRNA from 1 species
AAUUUCAAGUUAAAGUCCUGCCACCAGGUCAGCUGUAAAACUUAAACCUAUUUUCCCUCUUUCUCUCGCCAGCUUCUUGGGGUCAGCGUGGACCGCUGGGGAUGAGCUCGGGUGGCUGUGGCCAGGACACAGCUGAGGCAGAUUUGGAGCACUGGGUGGCUGAAAGUGCCUCCAAGGCAUUGCUGAGGCAACAAGGGAUGCAGCUGAAACAGUGCCAGGGUGCUUCCACAACGGUUUUAAGUGAAGAUUUGUCACAGGUGCUCCCAAACAGAUUUCCAGGAUUGCGGCAAGAGGAUGAGACAGCGAUAAUCCAUGAGCCCAGCAAGUUUUUGGGAAAGGAGGAAAUAUUGGGCCGGGAUGGGCAGGAGGAUGGAAACCUUGGGGAAAAGGAGGAACGGGAAAAGGGAAGAGGCAGUGGCAGUGAGGUGGGCGAAGCUGCAGGAAGUCUGGAUUUGGGGUGGGAUAAAAUGUCUGGGGACAAUGGGUCUCCAGGGGAAACAGCAGCUCAGGAUGAAGAGGAGCCCCUGGAAAGUAGUAGAGCUGAAGUACUGGAGCCUGGGCAGGGAGAACAGGAGGGUAGGAUUCAUGUGGCGGGUGAGAGCAGGACAGGGGAAGGAAACAACACACCAGGAUAUUUGGGGGAGACUCAAAAUGUGCAAGAAAACAGGGAGUCAACUGCAGAGCUGGAAGUUCAGGUGGCAGCAGUGAAGUUGGAUAUGGGAGAUGGAAAUGGCCAGGGAAGAACUCGGAGCGAGGAUGAGGAGGAAGGAGGAACCAGCAGAGAUUAUGGCGAGCCAGACAGGGCUGGAGGAAGCGGUGAUGAGCAGGGAGGCCCAGAGAGAGGCACGGAAAGCCAGGAGGGAGCCAGGAGCCCAGAAGAGGAUGUAGCCAGCAUCAAUACUGGUCCAGAGCAGUUCUCUUUGGAACCCAGGAUCUGCGGCACAUUGGAGCAGGAUGACAGCGGCAGCUGCCAGACCUCCAGUCUACAGAAUGGGCAACCCCUGGGGGUCAAGCUCAUGGAGGAAGGUAAGCACAGCGCUGGCUGAACAUAUGGUGACAUUUCCGCUGCCCUUUUUCUGAGUGUCUUCUGCGACGUGUCAUUAAUGUAUUAGCACAUCAGUGGUGGAUUUAUACUGGACUGUCCGCACGUCAUUCUGCUUUAUUCGUUGUUCCGUGAUGCUUUCUCAAUCUUCUUGUCGUCAGGAGGGGCACUCUUUUUAAAAUAAUAAUAAUAAUAAUAAUAAUAAUAAUAAUAAUAAUAAUAAUAAUUUUUAUUAAUUUUUAGCAUACAAAAUUUUUUAAGACCUACCACACAAAUUAUUAUACAUAUGUCCUUGUUUGGACUUCCUUCAGCAUCUCUGAUAGUCUUCCAUCUUGAUUAUUUCUCCUGCAAUUCUUAACUUAAUAUUGCCUUUACCUUUUCUAACAAAUCAUUUCUCCCUUUCCAUUUUUACAAUAUUUCUUAAAUUACUCCUCACAGAACUUCUUGUAGUCCUACAAACGUAAUCUGAUCAUCACAAAUACUUUUCAAAUACUCAGUAAAUUUACUCCAGUCUUCGGUAAACCUCUGGUCCCGUGGGUCUCGGAUCCUUCCUGUUAGCUUGUCUAAUUCUGCGUAGUCCAUCAAUUUAAUCCUCCAUUCUUCUAAUGUUGGUAGUUCUUCUUGCUUCCAUUUUUGGGCCAAUAAUAUUCUUGCUGCUGUUACUGCAGGAGGGGCACUCUUGUGUUAUAACACAAAAAAGUGGGACACAAAAAAAUCCACCCCAGGACAUUUAUGCUGUGAAAAGCUGCAGGAUUUAAGCAGGAAGCUAUGGGACAUGCACUGAUUGGAAACAAAGCAGUAUGUCCAUUGGUCCAUCUAGCUCAGCAUUGUCUGCUCUGACCGGCAGAGGCUCUCCAGAGUUUCAGUCUUUCCUGGAGCUACUUCUUGGAGAUGGAACCUGUGAAGGACUGAACCUGUGGUUUUCGGCAUGAAAGAAAGCAUGUGCUCUGACCAAGAUGUGAUGGGCCUCCCUCUAAAAAUAAUGUAAGAUUCCAGUCAUCAUUGUAGGGUUGAUUCAAACAGAAAAGCAGGAAGCUUUCUAUGACAAGCCAGACCCAUGCUCCAUCUAGCCUAGUAUUCUGUACACUGACUGGCAGUGACUCUCCAGGGUUUUGAUCAAAGGUCUUUCCCAGCCUUCCUUGGAGAUGCUAGGAUUGAGCCUGGGAGCUUCUCUGUGCAUAGCAUGUGAUCUACAGCCCCCCAAAAUAGAAUUGCACCCAGGGACAUUAUAAAAAGCAGACAGAGAUUAAUUGAUAAUAAGAAAUCAGCCACCUGGUCUCAAAACUCCAUGAACUUCGUUAACAAGGAGAGUUUCACUGAGGGGGCACCACAGUUGGAAAAGGCCAUGGUAGCCAUUCAUCUCUCAUCCGACACAAUGGGAUUUGGAUUGGGGACACUGAACUGAAUAAAUGGAAUCUUGUUUGGGAGGAAGUGUCCAUUGAGGUGUCUUGGAGCCAGAUCAUUUAAGGUUCUAGGCAGUGUUUCCCAAACUUGGGUCUCCGGCUGUUUUUGGAAUACAACUCCCAUCAUCCCUAGCUAGCAAGACCAGUGGUCAGGGAUGGUGGGAAUUGUAGUCCGGAAACAGCCAGAGACCCAGGUUUGGGAAACACUGUUCUAGAGGUCCAAUGCAACAGUUUAAACCAGCCUUCCCUAACCUGUUGCUCUCCACAUGCAUAGGACUACAACUCCCAUCAGCCCCAUGAGAUGUCCAAGACACUGGAGAGCACUGGGUUGGGGAAGGCUGGUUUAAAUUCUGCCCAGGAAGUCCUUUUAACAAAGAGACAACUGAGAAUCUGGCAACCAAUAUGGAGUACUUUCCCAUGUCAGGUUAUACCCCUCACCAUCUUCCCCCUUGUUCCUGUCAAAUUUCUCCUAGUUCACACGUAUUUAUUGAAUGCAGGAACAGAAUCCAUUUGUGAAGGAGAAGAGGAGGAGGAGGAGGAGGAAGAAGUGGAAGAGAGUGAAGCUGAUACAGACAUUGAAGCUGCCUUGGCUCCCUUCUCCAAAAAGCCAAAAUCAAG